CGGGACGGGUGAGUAAUGCUUGGGAAUCUAGCUUAUGGAGGGGGGUAACUACGGGAAACUGUAGCUAAUACCGCGUAAUAUCGAAAGAUUAAAGUGUGGGACCUUCGGGCCACAUGCCAUAAGAUGAGCCCAAGUGGGAUUAGGUAGUUGGUGAGGUAAAGGCUCACCAAGCCGACGAUCUCUAGCUGGUCUGAGAGGAUGACCAGCCACACUGGGACUGAGACACGGCCCAG
rnacentral:rRNA from 1 species